UCAAUCAAUGAUCUGAAGUCAAGUGGGAUUGAUCUGAAGUCAAGUGGGAUACCCGCUGAACUUAA
rnacentral:rRNA from 1 species